UUAGGACCUUCCUCUUGCUGCUCACGCUGAUUCCCGGGCUCAGUUAACCAUUAAAACCGAGUUCAACAUCAAAAACUGGAAUGACCACCCGCCGGCGCCUCUUCUUCCUAUGGUUGCUUUCUUCUCUUGCUUGAUUGAUUAAAUCCACACACUUAGGAUGGAUACCACUCAGGUAAGGUUCACAAAGACUCAAGCAAUUUGGGUGGAGAAGAAAUCACGAAGAAGAUGAAGACAUAAGACAUGGCUUGGACACGGCAGUUUCUUCUUCCUCACGGC
rnacentral:lncRNA from 1 species